rnacentral:tRNA from 1 species
UCCGGGAUAGCUCAGUGGUAGAGCGAUCGGCUGUUAACCGAUUGGUCGCAGGUUCAAAUCCUGCUCCCGGAGCCA